CCUCAAACAUUAAAAAUAGAACAACUCUAUCAUUCAGCAAUCCUACUUCUAGAUAUAUAUCCCAAAGAAUUGACAUCGGAAUCUCAAAGAAAUAUCUGCACUCCUAUAUUUAAUGCAGCACUAUUCAGAGUAGGCAAGAUAUAGAAAUAACCUAAAUGCUGACUGACAGAUGAAUGAAUAAAGACAAUGUGGUACAAUGUGUAUACAAUGGAAUAUUAUUAAACUUUAAAAAUAAAGCAAAUUCUUCCAUAUGUGACAGUAUGGAUGAAUCUGGAAGACAUUAUGCUAAGUGAAAUAAGCCAGUCACAGAAGGUCAAAUAUUGGAUGAUUCCAGUUAUAUGAGGUAUCUAAAAUAGACGCAUAAAAACAGAGGGUAGAAGGAGGGUUUCCAGGGUUGGGGAAAGGACAAAUGUGAAGUUAUUGCUCAAUGGGAAAAAGUUAUAAUUAUGGAAGAUGAGUAAAUUCUAGAGGUAUCUGUACAGCACAGUGCCUGUAAUGAAUGAUUUAAUAUUAUAUAAUUAAAUAUUUGUUAAAAGCCAGACAGAAAAAGACAAAUAUCAUAAGAUAUUUCUUAUAUGUGGAACCUAAAAAAAAUACAAAUGAACUUAUUUAAAAAACAGAAACUGACUCACAUAAAUAUAAAACAAACUUGGGAUUACUAAAAUGGAGAAGGGAUAGAGGGAUAAGUUAAGAGUUUGGGAUUAACAGAUACACACUACUAUAUAUAAAAUAGAUAAACAAGGAUCUACAGUAUAGCAAAAAAAAGAAUCACUUUGCUGUACACCUAAAAACUAAUACAACAUUGUAAAUCAACUACAAUUUUUUAAAAGAGUAGAUCUUUUAUACUACUAUAAAACAAAAGAAAAUAAAAAACAAAAGGAUAGGAGAAAACUUUUGGAAGUGAUAAAUGUGUUUAUUACUUGGUUUUGGUGAUGGCUUCAAGGGUACAUGCAUAUCUCCAAACUUAUCAAAUUGUACACUUUAAAUAUGUCCAUUUUUAAAAUAUACCAAUUAUACCUUAAUAAGACUGUUUAAAAAAUAAUGAUUUUUGGAGUUCCAUUGUGGCUUCAUAGGUUAGGGAUCCAACACUGUCUCUGUGAAGAGGCUGGCUUAAUUCCUGAUCCCACUCAGUGGGUUAAGGAUCUGGCAUAGGUUGCAGAUGUAGCUUGGAUCCUUUGUUGCCAUAGCUCUGUGGUGUAGGCCCCUGCAGCUUCAGCUUCAACCCCNNNNNNNNNNNNNNNNNAAAAAAAAAAAAAAAAAAAAAAAAAAAAAAAGAUUAAAAAAUGUUUAAAACCACCUUUCAAUUCUAAAAAGUCUUUGCUUUAUGAAAGCAGCUUCAGUACUUCAAGUCUUUUCUCUUUUUAAAAUAUUCCUCUCCUGUGGCUUAUCUGUAUCUAAAGUACAAAAAGCAUAGGAAAAAUACACACACACAUACACAUAUAUACAUGUAUAUGUAUAUAUUUAAAAUUGAAAAAACGUUUUAAAAAUAAAAUGUAUGAUAAAAUUAUUAUUUUUAUUAUAUGUUCACAACAUAUCACCUGAGAUUUUCACACUGUGAAUGAAAAAUGUUACCUGUCAUAUCAGUAAACAAAAGAUGCUGCAGCCACCAAGCCACUGCAGUUACCCCCAAAGGUGAGUUCUGAGGGAAUUGAGGGUGGAGACUGCCAACUAAAAAUUGGCACUUUCUAUCUGUCUCUAUAAGGAUUGAGUCACAAGCUGCUGUAACCACUGACCUUCAACAUACCCUUCAGUUCAGGGUGGAGAUCAGGAAUGAGGCACUCUGUGCUCUGGGAAAAAUGGGCAGGAUAGUCCUUUGGAUAAUUAGAUAUUUUCUGGAGAAGAUUUUAUGAGCCCAAUUCUUGCCCUUCCUUGUAUAUAGAAAAAUAGUAAAAUCAUACAUGGUGAUAUCUGCUCCUUGUGGUUAGUAGUAACCUUCACAUGAUUAGCAGCAACUUUCUGCAAAAAUGUGUGCUUUUUUGCAUGUACCUCCCUUUACCAGAAAUACAUAUAUACUGACCUUCUUCCCUACCUCUUUGGAGAAGUUUUUCAGAACUAUCCGAAGGGCUAUCUCUGGGGCUUUAGUCCUCAUUUUGCCCAAAAUAAAAUUUAACUCACAACUCCCACAUUGUGCUUUUUUUUUUCUUUUUCAGUUGGCAGCUUUGGCCACCAAUGAAAGAGAACCAAAGCAGACUUCUAUCUUUCACUUGAACUCUAUGGGAAACCAGAGCCUUGGUACCAGCAGAGGCCUCCUGCACCUGUCUGCCUCCCCAGGUAGUCCAGACAAAUUUGGGUGAGUCUCUCCUAGUUAUUGAAUUUCCUAUAUUGUUUGAAGCUCCUGUGUUGUAUUUGAAAGUGUAUGACAUAUACCUGCCCCCCUCCCCCACCGCCCCCAGUUAAAAGGUACUGGGGGAAAGACCUGGUUAAAAGAUACCAGAAACAAUACCCACUCAAUUGAAACAUACUGGGUGAGGAGGUAGUUCAAAGAUACCAGGGUUUGUUCAAUUAAAAGAGGCUGAGUGGUCUGGGCUGAGUGGUUAGGUAAGAGGCUGAUCUGACUCUUUUCAUCAACUCAGCUACCUUAAUAGAAUUUAUCAGGAUAAAAGUGAAGAUAAUAUAUGAAAACUUUUACUUCAAAGAAAAGGGACAAGACUACUCCUGGUUGGUUACCAUUUUCUCAGGCAACUCAAAAAUUUACAGGACUGGUGGAGGCAGAGUUUCCACACUGUGCUGUGAUUCCCAUAUGGAAACCCACUCACUAACUGAAGACUUGCAUAUCUGGGAGGUCAUGGCUAAAAAUUGGCUAUUCAGUGAUCUGACUACCCACAGUGGUCUUAGACCAUCAAAGGUAGAAACCAAGCCACAUAAAAGAGAGCUGAAACAGCUCUAGGGUGAUGCCUAGAGGAGCUAAGCUCAAAAGCAGCAUACUUGCCUACCACACAAUUUCAUUAGUAAAUUUUAUUCUCCAAAAGUUCAAUUUAAAAUAGGAAAUAGAUAACCAAAAAACACACAAAAAGAUGUUCAACAUCACUAAUUACUAGAGAAAUGAAAAGCAAAACUACAAUGAAGUAUCACCUCACACCAGUCAGAAUGGGCAUCAUCAAAAAGUCUAUGAACAACAAAUGCUGGAGAGAGUGUGGAGAAAAGGGAACCCUCCCGUCCU
ensembl:lncRNA